rnacentral:misc_RNA from 1 species
GAUGAAGAACGCAGCGAAAUGCGAUAAGUAGUGUGAAUUGCAGAAUUCAGUGAAUCAUCGAAUCUUUGAACGCACAUUGCGCCCCUUGGUAUUCCAUGGGGCAUGCCUGUUCGAGCGUCAUUUGUACCUUCAAGCUCUGCUUGGUGUUGGGUGUUUUGUCUCGCCUCUGCGUGUAGACUCGCCUUAAAACAAUUGGCAGCCGGCGUAUUGAUUUCGGACCGCAGUACAUCUCGCGCUUUGCACUCAUAACGGCGACGUCCAAAAGUACAUUUUUACACUCUUGACCUCGGAUCAGGUAGGGAUACCCGCUGAACUUAAGCAUAUCAAUAAGCGGAGGA